rnacentral:rRNA from 1 species
GAUGCUAAUACCGCAUACGCCCUAAGGGGGAAAGGAGGGGAUCUAUUUAUAGACCUUUCGCUAUCAGAUGAGCCUGCGUAGGAUUAGCUAGUUGGUAGGGUAAAGGCCUACCAAGGCGACGAUCCUUAGCUGGUCUGAGAGGAUGACCAGCCACACUGGGACUGAGACACGGCCCAGACUCCUACGGGAGGCAGCAGUGGGGAAUAUUGGACAAUGGGGGCAACCCUGAUCCAGCCAUGCCGCGUGUGUGAAGAAGGCCUUCGGGUUGUAAAGCACUUUCAGUGGU